GUUACAUAUCCUUGCUGUUUGCUCUCCUCUGUGUCCCAUAUUUGCUGAUGCUCAUACAUGUGCUAUAUCCACAGGGGAAAGAAUUAAUAUUCCAGGCUAGUCCAAAGACCAGGAGCAAACAAAAAAUUAUUUAGCAUUGUCACUAGUUUCUUGAUGAUCUUUUGACAUGCUUGGAAUAAUUUACUUUGGCCACGUCGAUAAGAGUGUAGCCUUCCAGGUAGUGCAUUAAGUGUAAAACAAACAGACUGCAGAAACAAUUCUUCUGAUUAGAGGCAGAGAGAAAAUAUCACCCUGAGUGGAGGCUGAGAUUCAAGAAGAACACCUGGUCUCAGAAUCCUCUGGAUGUUAUGAAUUCCACUGACUGCACAGUCCUUGAUAAGCUUGAUAACUCCUAUCACAAUAAGAUCUACAGGAAAAAAACAACUGUCAAGCUAACAAGGCCAAGAUGAGCAUCACUAAAGAAUGAAGCGUUUAGGAGAUUGAGCUUCUCUUUGUGAAGCAACUAAUAAAACUUUGCAGGGCUUUGGAAAGAGUUUAUUUGUAUUUAGAAGUUGGAGGUGAAUAAAAUCAACUCUUAUAAGAAUCCUGUUAAUGAAUUAUGUCUCAUUACUCAGAGGAAGGAAGCAGGUCCUUUGCAACUAUAUUUCCUCAGAAAAGAAACACAGAUAGAUAUUACACAUUUUAUGUAUUGUAGCAUAUUUACAAGAAAAAAGAAGC
rnacentral:lncRNA from 1 species